rnacentral:rRNA from 1 species
UACAGAGGUCUCAAGCGUUGUUCGGAUUCAUUGGGCGUAAAGGGUGCGUAGGUGGCAUGGUAAGUCGGAUGUGAAAUCCCGGGGCUCAACCCCGGAACUGCAUUCGAUACUGCUGCGCUAGAGUACUGGAGAGGAGAUUGGAAUUUACGGUGUAGCAGUGAAAUGCGUAGAUAUCGUAAGGAAGACCAGUGGCGAAGGUGGAUCUCUGGACAGUUACUGACACUGAGGCACGAAGGCCAGGGGAGCAAACGGG